rnacentral:rRNA from 1 species
GAUGAACGCUGGCGGCGUGCUUAACACAUGCAAGUCGAACGGAGUGGCGAACGGGUGAGUAACACGUGGGUGAUCUGCCCUGUACUUCGGGAUAAGCUUGGGAAACUGGGUCUAAUACCGGAUAGUAUGGGAUGACCUCGCGGCCUAUCAGCUGGUUGGUGGGGUAAUGGCCUACCAAGGCGUCGACGGGUAGCCGGCGUGAGAGGGUGUACGGCCACAUUGGGACUGAGAUCCGGCCGCGACUCCUACGGGAGGCAGCAGUGGGGAAUAUUGCACAAUGGGCGCAAGCCUGAUGCAGCGACGCCGCGUGGGGGAUGAAGGCCUUCGGGUUGUAAACUCCUUUCGCUAGGGACGCGGUACCUGGAGAAGAAGCACCGGCUAACUACGUGCCAGCCGCCGCGGUAAUAC